rnacentral:rRNA from 1 species
GACGAACGCUGGCGGCGUGCUUAACACAUGCAAGUCGAGCGGAAAGGCCACUUCGGUGGUACUCGAGCGGCGAACGGGUGAGUAACACGUGAGUAAUCUGCCCUUGGCUUUGGGAUAGCCACCGGAAACGGUGAUUAAUACCGGAUAUGACCACUUCUCGCAUGGGUUGUGGUGGAAAGUUUUUUCGGCCAGGGAUGUGCUCGCGGCCUAUCAGCUUGAUGGUGAGGUAAUGGCUCACCAUGGCUUCGACGGGUAGCCGGCCUGAGAGGGUGACCGGUCACACUGGGACUGAGACACGGCCCAGACUCCUACGGGAGGCAGCAGUGGGGAAUAUUGGACAAUGGGCGGAAGCCUGAUCCAGCAACGCCGCGUGAGGGAUGACGGCCUUCGGGUUGUAAACCUCUUUCGGUGGGGACGAAGCGCAAGUGACGGUACCCACUAAAGAAGCACCGGCCAACUACGUGCCAGCAGCCGCAGUAAAAC